rnacentral:rRNA from 1 species
AGAGUUUGAUCAUGGCUCAGGAUGAACGCUGGCGGCGUGCUUAACACAUGCAAGUCGAACGAAGCACUUACAAUUGAUUCUUCGGAUGAAAGAGUUUGUGACUGAGUGGCGGACGGGUGAGUAACGCGUGGGUAACCUGCCUCAUACAGGGGGAUAACAGUUAGAAAUGACUGCUAAUACCGCAUAAGCGCACAGUAUCGCAUGAUACCGUGUGAAAAACUCCGGUGGUAUGAGAUGGACCCGCGUCUGAUUAGCUAGUUGGUGGGGUAACGGCCUACCAAGGCAACGAUCAGUAGCCGGCCUGAGAGGGUGAACGGCCACAUUGGGACUGAGACACGGCCCAAACUCCUACGGGAGGCAGCAGUGAGGAAUAUUGGUCAAUGGGCGGAAGCCUGAACCAGCCAAGUCGCGUGAGGGAAGACGGCCCUACGGGUUGUAAACCUCUUUUGUCGGGGAGCAAUGCCGCCUUUGCGAAGGCGGAGGGAGAGUACCCGAAGAAAAAGCAUCGGCUAACUCCGUGCCAGCAGCCGCGGUAAUACGGAGGAUGCGAGCGUUAUCCGGAUUUAUUGGGUUUAAAGGGUGCGUAGGCGGAAUAUUAAGCCUGAGGUAAAAAUUCGGGGCCCAACCCCGUCCCGCCUUGGGAACUGGUAUUCUAGAGUGGUUGAGAAGUAUGCGGAAUGCGUGGUGUAGCGGUGAAAUGCAUAGAUAUCACGCAGAACGCCGAUUGCGAAGGCAGCAUACCGGCAGCCCACUGACGCUGAGGCACGAAAGCGUGGGGAUCAAACAGGAUUAGAUACCCUGGUAGUCCACGCAGUAAACGAUGGAUGUUAGCUGUUCGGAGCGAAUGAGUUCUGAGUGGCACAGCGAAAGCGUUAAACAUCCCACCUGGGGAGUACGCCGGCAACGGUGAAACUCAAAGGAAUUGACGGGGGCCCGCACAAGCGGAGGAACAUGUGGUUUAAUUCGAUGAUACGCGAGGAACCUUACCCGGGCUUGAACUGUAGGCGAACGAUCCAGAGAUGGUGAGGCCCUUCGGGGCGCCUAUGGAGGUGCUGCAUGGUUGUCGUCAGCUCGUGCCGUGAGGUGUCGGCUUAAGUGCCAUAACGAGCGCAACCCCUCUCUUCAGUUGCCAUCAGAUUAUGCUGGGCACUCUGGAGACACUGCCACCGUAAGGUGUGAGGAAGGUGGGGAUGACGUCAAAUCAGCACGGCCCUUACGUCCGGGGCUACACACGUGUUACAAUGGGUGGUACAGAGAGUUGGGUGUACGCAAGUGCAUUCUAAUCAAGAAAGCCAUCCUCAGUUCGGACUGGGGUCUGCAACCCGACCCCACGAAGCUGGAUUCGCUAGUAAUCGCGCAUCAGCCAUGGCGCGGUGAAUACGUUCCCGGGCCUUGCACUCACCGCCCGU